rnacentral:tRNA from 1 species
GAGGAUAUAGCUCAGUGGUAGCAGAGUGCGUGCUUAGCAUGCACCAAGUCCUGGGUUCAAUCCUCAGUACCUCCA